rnacentral:rRNA from 1 species
AUUGAACGCUGGCGGCAGGCCUAACACAUGCAAGUCGGACGGUAGCGCAGAGAGCUUGCUCUCGGGUGACGAGUGGCGGACGGGUGAGUAAUGUCUGGGGAUCUGCCCGAUAGAGGGGGAUAACCACUGGAAACGGUGGCUAAUACCGCAUAACGUCGCAAGACCAAAGAGGGGGACCUUCGGGCCUCUCACUAUCGGAUGAACCCAGAUGGGAUUAGCUAGUAGGCGGGGUAAUGGCCCACCUAGGCGACGAUCCCUAGCUGGUCUGAGAGGAUGACCAGCCACGCUGGAACUGAGACACGGUCCAGACUCCUACGGGAGUCAGCAGUGGGGAAUAUUGCACAAUGGGCGCAAGCCUGAUGCAGCCAUGCCGCGUGUAUGAAGAAGGCCUUCGGGUUGUAAAGUACUUUCAGCGGGGAGGAAGGCGAUGUGGUUAAUAACCGCAUUGAUUGACGUUACCCGCAGAAGAAGCACCGGCUAACUCCGUGCCAGCCGCCGCAGUAA